rnacentral:rRNA from 1 species
UACGUAGGGUCCAAGCGUUGUCCGGAAUUAUUGGGCGUAAAGAGCUCGUAGGCGGUCAGUCGCGUCUGCUGUGAAAACUCGGGGCUUAACUCCGGGCCUGCAGUGGGUACGGGCUGACUAGAGUGCGGUAGGGGAGACUGGAAUUCCUGGUGUAGCGGUGAAAUGCGCAGAUAUCAGGAGGAACACCGGUGGCGAAGGCGGGUCUCUGGGCCGUAACUGACGCUGAGGAGCGAAAGCGUGGGGAGCGAACAGG